rnacentral:lncRNA from 1 species
GUGGAGCUGGAAAGGUGGAGGCGGAAGUGACUGAUCAAUUCAGGGGUGUGGGGUUCGUUUAGGUUUUGCCCUGUGUAUGACCUCUUUUGGAGCCAUGAAACCAGGUGGCUUUUCUACAAUAUAAAGAUGGAAAUGGGAUGAAGAUGUUCAUUGCAAAUUAGGAAAGCUCUUCCACAAGUUCACCAAUGGAAAUAACAUCAAGAGUUUUUCAUCGUCUUAGUGUGCAAGGUUAUUUUAGGGCAAUGAUGGAAAGCACCAAGUGGAGCCUGGAGCUAGACUGAUCUGUGUUCAAUCCUGUCUUGGUUACUCAUUGCGGAGCCUUGACUUUCAUGUCUCUGUAAUGUCUCUGACAGUAUCUGCCUCACAGGGUUGCUGUGCAAAUCAAGCGAGAUAAAUAUCAAGGAGUGCAAUUCCUGGAUUUAUGAUGUCUGAGGAAUAGUCUUAGUGGAUUAUCCCAAACUUGACACAUUUUUUGCAAAAUGCUAUACAAAAAGAAGAUACAUGUGAUUAUGACAAGAUUCUCCACUUGGUGUGACCGGUCUCAUACAACCCAAGGCUGUGUGUCCAAACGCAAUUGCACUGAAUACUGGAAAGCAUUUAUUUGUUUGCUAAAUUGCUCUCUUUCCACCAGUGAUAUCGAUUCUGAAAUACUUUUUAGAUCUUGACAAUAAUCAAAAUGUAGCCAGGUGCAUUGG